rnacentral:sRNA from 1 species
UUGUAGGCUGUAUAAGACGUAGAUUUAGAAAUUCGUAUCCAUUUAUGGUUCUGCAGCUUGAGUGAUAAACAUCCCUCGAGAGGUCCUUGUUGGUGGUUUGGAUAGGUCUAUCUGUGAAGUCUCAGAUAUGUAUUUGGUAUAGCAAGCACUUUAGCUAACAAUUUGACAGAGACGACGCCUUGUAUAUGCUUUGGUGUAAACUAAUGUUGCUGUGAAUUCGCAGUCUGAUCAGAUCAUAACACGGCCAUACGUCAGACAAAAUUUUAAUGCAUUAGAGGGCUAAAUACUGUGAAGUCAGAGCAUGCUUGAUACCUGCAAACUUGGAUCUCCACUGCUUAUUCAAUGGAAGAUGCCUUAUAAUGAUAUGAUUCCAAUUUCCUUAUGAUAUUUUGUAAAUUCGCUGCAAAAUGGACGUGUAACCUUAUGCGUGUUUAGAAGAAAUAAAGUUUGUGAAAUACA